GAUGAACGCUGGCGGCGUGCCUAAUACAUGCAAGUCGAGCGAACGGACGAGAAGCUUGCUUCUCUGAUGUUAGCGGCGGACGGGUGAGUAACACGUGGAUAACCUACCUAUAAGACUGGGAUAACUUCGGGAAACCGUAGCUAAUACCGGAUAAUAUUUUGAACCGCAUGGUUCAAAAGUGAAAGACGGUCUUGCUGUCACUUAUAGAUGGAUCCGCGUUGCAUUGGCUAGUUGGUAAGGUAACGGCUUACCAAGGCAACGAUCCAUAGCCGACCUGAGAGGGUGAUCGGCCACACUGGAACUGAGACACGGUCCAGACUCCUACGGGAGGCAGCGGUAGGGAAUCUUCCGCACUGAGCGAAGGCCUGCCGGAGCAACGCCGCGUGAGUGAUGAAGGUCUUCGGAUCGUAAAACUCUGUUAUUAGGGAAGAACAUAUGUGUAGGUAACUGUGCACAUCUUGACGGUACCUAAUCAGAAAGCCACGGCUAACUACGUG
rnacentral:rRNA from 1 species